UCCCUGGUGGUUCAGUGGGUAAGACUCUGUGUUUACAAUGCAGGGGGCCCAGGUUUGAUCCCUGGCCAGGGAA